rnacentral:rRNA from 1 species
GUCCACGCCGUAAACGAUGUCUACUAGCCGUUGGGAGACUUGAUUUCUUAGUGGCGCAGCUAACGCAAUAAGUAGACCGCCUGGGGAGUACGGCCGCAAGGUUAAAACUCAAAUGAAUUGACGGGGGCCCCGCACAAGCGGUGGAGCAUGUGGUUUAAUUCGAUGCAACGCGAAGAACCUUACCAGGUCUUGACAUCCAGAGAACUUGGCAGAGAUGCCUUGGUGCCUUCGGGAGCUCUGAGACAGGUGCUGCAUGGCUGUCGU